GACGAACGCUGGCGGCGUGCUUAACACAUGCAAGUCGAACGGAAAGGCCCGGCUUUGGUGGGGUGCUCGAGUGGCGAACGGGUGAGUAACACGUGGGUAACCUGCCCUUGACUGUGGGAUAACUUCAGGAAACUGGGGCUAAUACCGGAUAGGAGCUCCUGCUGCAUGGUGGGGGUUGGAAAGUUUCGGCGGUUGGGGAUGGACUCGCGGCUUAUCAGCUUGUUGGUUGGGUAGUGGCUUACCAAGGCUUUGACGGGUAGCCGGCCUGAGAGGGUGACCGGACACAUUGGGACUGAGAUACGGCCCAGCCUCCGACGGGAGGCAGCAGUGGGGAAGAUUGCACAAUGGGCGGAAGCCUGAUGCAGCACCGCAGCGUGCGGGAUGACGGCCUUCGGGUUGUAAUCCGCUUUCGCCUGUGACGAAGCGUGAGUGACGGUAAUGGGUAAAGAAGCACCGGCUAACUAUGUG
rnacentral:rRNA from 1 species